UGGGGAAUUUUGGACAAUGGGCGAAAGCCUGAUCCAGCAAUGCCGCGUGUGUGAAGAAGGCCUUCGGGUUGUAAAGCACUUUUGUCCGGAAAGAAAUCCUUGGCUCUAAUGCAGUCGGGGGAUGACGGUACCGGAAGAAUAAGCACCGGCUAACUACGUGCCAGCAGCCGCGGUAAUACGUAGGGUGCAAGCGUUAAUCGGAAUUACUGGGCGUAAAGCGUGCGCAGGCGGUUUGCUAAGACCGAUGUGAAAUCCCCGGGCUCAACCUGGGAACUGCAUUGGUGACUGGCAGGCUAGAGUAUGGCAGAGGGGGGUAGAAUUCCACGUGUAGCAGUGAAAUGCGUAGAGAUGUGGAGGAAUACCGAUGGCGAAGGCAGCCCCCUGGGCCAAUACUGACGCUCAUGCACGAAAGCGUGGGGAGCAAACAGGAUUAGAUACCCUGGUAGUCCACGCCCUAAACGAUGUCAACUAGUUGUUGGGGAUUCAUUUCCUUAGUAACGUAGCUAACGCGUGAAGUUGACCGCCUGGGGAGUACGGUCGCAAGAUUAAAACUCAAAGGAAUUGACGGGGUCAUAGCUG
rnacentral:rRNA from 1 species